rnacentral:snoRNA from 1 species
ACUCUCCCCGGGCUCUGUCCAGGUGGCAUAGGGGAGCACAGGGCUCUGCCCGAUGACGUACAGUCCCUUCCCACGCCGUUGGAGAGGAAGCGGGCCUCGAGUCUGCGCCUGCAUAUUCCUACAGCUUCCCAGAGUCCUGUGGACAAUGACUGGGGAGAC